UCGCGAACAACUGCAGCAACAACAACGGGUUAGUCACGCGAACGACUAGCCCAUUCGAUUAUUAUUCGAGCAAUUCGCACAAGGAUAAAUUAUAGUAGUCUUCAUGGGACUGUAUUUGAAUGAUUCAAAAAAAUAAUUAUGAUUACGAGUCGGAAACUAACUAGUUAGUCACAUCGAACGUGCUCGAUUUUGUGAUCACCGUUUAUAAAGAUGCAGCAAGAGCUAGAAAAAAGGAUAUUGAACAGUAUGGGUAACAGAAGAGGAAAGAUCAAGAGGAUGAAUAAGAAAGAUUUAGAGGUGGAGGAAGAAAUCGGGGUUGCUGCGAUAGCGAAGGUGGAGAGGAUGAGGCUAUUCGGAAGACUGAAGAGGCCGAAGCUAUGAAGAACGGAGCACGAUCUUUCCUUGUCAUCGUGACCGUCUCUGGCCGAUUUUUAAACAAGGAGGCGAAUUCAAACGGCAUUGUGUCGUCACGUGCAGCCACUCGCUCUCUCUCAACAGAAUGUUGUUAGAACCUCUUUCCUCUGUAUAACCGCAAAACUUUUAUAUAUUGUCUCUUCUUCCAGUUUUCUUCUAUCCUUAUUUUACUUCUCUAUUUUAUUCUUUCCUUUCUCAUAUCCAUUGUUUUUGUUUUCUUACAAUUAAUAAUUUAUAUUUUUUUCAUUAACAUAUAUAUAUAUAUUAUAAGCAUUUAUAAGCAUUCUUGUUAAAUUUUUGUGUAAAAUAAAAAAUGCAGAUCGAUUACAAUUCCUAUUUCCUUCUUUGAAAAACUUUCAAUAUUUUUUAUUUCGAUUACCUUCGAAAUAAUAAUUUCCUUUUACAUCGACAUGCAUUAAUAUUGUGUCAUGAUUAUAUUCCAAUUUUAUUUUCAUUAUUACAUAUUCUCUAAUAUGUUAUGUGAUAAUUUUAGAAUUUUUUGAACGCGAUAUUUCUCUAUUGUUCAAGAUUCGUUUAAAUGCUAUAACUAUUUCGUUUCGAUUUAUCAGUGUAAAAACUACAUAUGAUAAAACACAAAAUAUAAAUAUUUCUUUAUUUUUCUCUGAAUAAUACAUCUAGCAUUAAACAAUAAGAUGAUAGCAAGUCUAAUCUUUCGGUUCGGAUAUCAUAAUGGUUAAGUAAAAAUUCAUUUUUUAAUAUUGUAAAAUAUACAUAUACAUGUACAUACAUACAUACGAGCGUUUGCAUGCACAAUAAGAUCACACAUACCAGUUAUUUACACAGUUUUAUACAAUAUUUUCUUUAUUCUUUUCUUCUGAAAGAUUUUCUUUAAAUAUCAAUUAAAUCACAGCAACCAUCUCCUAAUUUAUAUUAAUUAUUCCUCUAUAAUUAUUUAAAUGUCUUCCGUCACAAUAUUUUCUCUUAAUGACAUUUUAUAUAAGUCUUGUGUCAUUAUUAGGAAAUGGC